CAAGCUCAAGCUCUUUGUGUCCUUCUGUGCAGAGGACUAAUCUAGAAACUCAUCAUGAAAUUUAAGUUGAACUGGAUUUUCCUUCUGACUUUUUUCCAAGGUGUCCAGUGUGAUGUGCAGCUGGUUGAAUCUGGGGGAGAUGUGGUUCAGCCUGGAGGAUCUCUGCGUCUCUCCUGCAAGGCUUCUGGAUUUACCUUCAGUAGCUACUGGAUGGAUUGGGUCCGCCAGGCUCCAGGGAAAGGACUAGAAUGGGUUGCAAGAAUAAGUACUGGUGGAAGUAGUACAUACUAUGCAGACUCUGUGAAAGGUCGAUUCACCAUCUCCAGAGAUGAUGGCAACAGCAUGUUACAUCUACAGAUGAAUUCUCUUAAUACUCAGGACACAGCUGUGUAUUACUGUGCAAGAGACACAGUGAGGAAAAGGAAUAUAAGACUAGACAGAAACUUCCCCUGCCAGGAGAUGAGAUGA